UUAUUUUUUGAAGUUUUACGUUCGGGUGGGAUAAGUUAAAAGAGAAAUUUUAGUAAAAAAAAUUUAUUUUCGAGGGAAAUUUUAAUAUAUCGAAAUCAUCAAUAAUCCUUUUUUGCACUUUUACGUAUUUUCAUAAAAGAUAAAAUAAAAUGCUACCCCCUUGGCUACCACCCAGCAAGUCAGGAAAACUACCAGAAUGCGAGAAAAAUAUAUUAGCCUUAAAGUCGUGGUGUUACAAAGAGAUACCUAGAAGAAUAACGCGAAUAGUACCCAGAACAACAAAAAGAAAUGGAUUUUGUUAUUGUACAUGUGAGUGUAUUCGUCCAAGUCCAUCACCUCAAUACAUAGUUAAUCGUGAACGUUGGUGGUUUGCUCUUCAUUAUCCCUAUCAUUGUCCAAGAAAAAUGGCCAGAGGUUGUCAUUGUUGAAAUUUGCCAUCAUUAUUGUUAAAAAUCUACAUCAUAUUUUAAAUACAUGCAUGUUGAUUGGUACUGAUACCUAGUAGUGAUAUAUUGAACUACAUUAUAAUAUCGUUAAUUAAAACACUUGUUUUAACCAAUAAAUUUGAAAAGAUAAUCAAAUAUUAUUUACCACACCUCAUACUGUCCUUGACUUGGGUUUGUUGUGCGUUGAUUACAUACAUACAUAAUCUAAAAAUAUUUUUAUCAACCC